rnacentral:rRNA from 1 species
GACGAACGCUGGCGGCGUGCUUAACACAUGCAAGUCGAACGGAAAGGCCCUGCUUUUGUGGGGUGCUCGAGUGGCGAACGGGUGAGUAACACGUGAGUAACCUGCCCUUGACUUUGGGAUAACUUCAGGAAACUGGGGCUAAUACCGGAUAGGAGCUCCUGCUGCAUGGUGGGGGUUGGAAAGUUUCGGCGGUUGGGGAUGGACUCGCGGCUUAUCAGCUUGUUGGUGGGGUAGUGGCUUACCAAGGCUUUGACGGGUAGCCGGCCUGAGAGGGUGACCGGCCACAGUGGGACUGAGAGACGGCCCAGCGUCCUACGGGAGGCAGCAGUGGGGAAGAUUGCACAAUGGGCGGAAGCCUGAUGCAGCAACGCCGCGUGCGGGAUGACGGCCUUCGGGUUGCAAACCGCUUUCGCCUGUGACGAAGCGUGAGUGACGGUAAUGGGUAAAGAAGCACCCGCUAACUACGUG